GAUGAAGAACGCAGCGAAAUGCGAUAAGUAAUGCGAAUUGCAGAAUUCCAGUGAGUCAUCGAAUCUUUGAACGCACAUUGCCCCUUUGGUAUUCCGAAGGGCAUGCCUGUUCGAGCGUCAUUAUCACCCCUCAAGCCCUCGGCUUGGUGUUGGACGGUUUGGUGGAGGCCCCCUCGGGGGCUCCUGCCCCUCCCAAAGACAAUGACGGCGGCCUCGUUGGACCCCCGGUACACUGAGUUCUUCACGGGACACGUAUCGGACACAUGGGUUUACGGGACACGGUCUGCCUCCCCUCAGGGAGAAUCUUUCUAAGGUUGACCUCGGAUCAGGUAGGGAUACCCGCUGAACUUAAGCAUAUCAAUAAGCGGAGGA
rnacentral:misc_RNA from 1 species